GGAAGUGGCGGCGUGCCUAUACAUGCAGUCGAACGAACUCUGGUAUUGAUUGGUGCUUGCAUCAUGAUUUACAUUUGAGUGAGUGGCGAACUGGUGAGUAACACGUGGGAAACCUGCCCAGAAGCGGGGGAUAACACCUGGAAACAGAUGCUAAUACCGCAUAACAACUUGGACCGCAUGGUCCGAGUUUGAAAGAUGGCUUCGGCUAUCACUUUUGGAUGGUCCCGCGGCGUAUUAGCUAGAUGGUGAGGUAACGGCUCACCAUGGCAAUGAUACGUAGCCGACCUGAGAGGGUAAUCGGCCACAUUGGGACUGAGACACGGCCCAAACUCCUACGGGAGGCAGCAGUAGGGAAUCUUCCACAAUGGACGAAAGUCUGAUGGAGCAACGCCGCGUGAGUGAAGAAGGGUUUCGGCUCGUAAAACUCUGUUGUUAAAGAAGAACAUAUCUGAGAGUAACUGUUCAGGUAUUGACGGUAUUUAACCAGAAAGCCACGGCUAACUACGUGCCAGCAGCCGCGGUAAUACGUAGGUGGCAAGCGUUGUCCGGAUUUAUUGGGCGUAAAGCGAGCGCAGGCGGUUUUUUAAGUCUGAUGUGAAAGCCUUCGGCUCAACCGAAGAAGUGCAUCGGAAACUGGGAAACUUGAGUGCAGAAGAGGACAGUGGAACUCCAUGUGUAGCGGUGAAAUGCGUAGAUAUAUGGAAGAACACCAGUGGCGAAGGCGGCUGUCUGGUCUGUAACUGACGCUGAGGCUCGAAAGUAUGGGUAGCAAACAGGAUUAGAUACCCUGGUAGUCCAUACCGUAAACGAUGAAUGCUAAGUGUUGGAGGGUUUCCGCCCUUCAGUGCUGCAGCUAACGCAUUAAGCAUUCCGCCUGGGGGAGUACGGCCGCAAGGCUGAAACUCAAAGGAAUUGACGGGGGCCCGCACAAGCGGUGGAGCAUGUGGUUUAAUUCGAAGCUACGCGAAGAACCUUACCAGGUCUUGACAUACUAUGCAAAUCUAAGAAGAUUAGACGUUCCCUUCGGGGACAUGGAUACAGGGGGGGGCAGGGUUGUCGUCAGCUCGUGUCGUGAGAAUGUUUGGGGUUAAGUCCCCGCAACGAGCGCAACCCUUUAUUAUCAGUUGCCAGCAUUAAGUUGGGGACUCCUGGUGGAGACUGCCGGUGAAAACCCGAGGAAAGAGGGGGGGGGGGGAGGUCCAAAACAUUCUUGGCCCUCUUUAGACUGGGGGUACCCCCU
rnacentral:rRNA from 2 species